UCUUAAAAACCAUGCAUGCUUUCUCGGUCAGACGGGUGGUUUGCAGGCUAUUACACUAAAUAGCUCAGUAACAUUUUGUGUCAAGUCAGAAAUCACAUGACGAGGUUCAUAAAUAGCAGCAAAGUGAAAAGAGAAGCAUUCCUUCAUAGCAUUUUCUAGAUGCGUGACCACAAAAUCAUUCCUGGUUCCUGGUAACCUCGUAUCAACGAGCUAGAACCAGUUUUUAGUUUACGCGCUUAUGUCAUCUUUCUUCACUUAUUACACAGUGACGACCUAAUCAACUCUCUAGAUUGCUCCAGAGGCAUAGUGUUUUCUACUAUAGCCAAAACAAUCAUAACCACCACCUGAAUACAAAGGUUCGAUGCAAUUUCAUAGCAUAUGCUGAGAGCAGAAGCUCCUACUACAGCUUCAAAAUGUUCCAAAAUAUUACUUGGGUGCACUACAUUGUCGGACCAUUAGCAGGACAAAAUUAAAAACUGACCAGGAAAGAGUUUCGACAGUUACUGAACUGAAUCAGCUGCAGGGGCUGCGUGAUGGUUUAUAACCAAAGGAGGGCGUAGAGCUUUGUGAUUAGCUAUUUUCUCCAUACGUGCCUUGUACAUCUCUUCUGUCUCAACGACAAC